rnacentral:miRNA from 1 species
AACACACACACACACACAAA